rfam:Myotis lucifugus cont2.37029, whole genome shotgun sequence.
GCCAGUUUGGCUCAAUGGAUAGAGCGUUGGCCUGUGGACCCAAGAAUCCCGGGUUCAAUUCCAGUCAAGGGCA